CAUUUUCCCUCAUGUUUGGAUGAAAGAGGCCGAGGAGAGCUUGGAUUGGAGGUGUUUGGGAUGCGCGAGAGAGCGUUCCCCCCCGCGGGCUGCGAGUGGUGCGGUCCAGGGACUGCUAGGGGCGGGGAGAGAAGUGUUUACGGAACUGGGGCAGCCUUGCCGCCCGGAGCACCCGGCGUUGGAGGCGGGGCCUGCAGGGGCCCUAGGGGGCGGGGCCGAGUGGGGCGCGGAGGGCGGGGCGGAGCGGGGGCGCUGGGGGCGGGGCGAAGCCGUCGGCGGAUCGGCUCGUGGAGCGCUGGACUGACCUCCCUAGGCUUCCGGGGCGCCCCAGCGUGGACCAUGCUGCAAGCUUCCGGCCGGCGGGGGGACGUUUUACUGCGGAACACCCCUCAUCUAGAAGGGGCGAUCUAAAUUGGGUGCCCACCAUCACACCGUCCGCGCAUACAGAGACAACCCAAGCGACAACGUGGCAAGUAUGUUCCCACGGACGUCGGCAACCUAGCGUGUCACGGACGUUUGUAUCUGCACCUCCACGUAAACACGAAUCCAGAUUUGCAUGUGGCUGGACGGGAUGAUUAGCUACUGGAGUUACCCCCACCCAGGCUCUCUGAAGACGUAAACUUGGUAUCAAGAGAUUGAAGAGAAAAUGCGGUUGCCACCAAGAUUCUUUCCUAUGAACAUGCCCGUGUUUAUAUCAUUUGUUGGAAUCAGCAGCCAGGAUGAGAGAAGCCUCCAAUUUCAAUUCUUGCCAAAUAAUAACCGUCAUACAACAACUGCCAUCACCACCCUAAAAACUCCACAAUAGCAGGAUUAACCAAAAAUAUCCCCAAACUUCUGGACACUGUGACAAUGACACAUGGCAGCUUUGCUUCCUUUUUGAGCAUUGUAGGAGCUUGUUAAGUAUUGUUUUUAUGCUAUUAUGUAACUUGGAGCAGAUGAGCAUGAGUCAGGAAUUGUCCUGCCUACCUGGGUGACCAGCUACCUGACCCUAGGCAUGGCACUUACAUAAAGCCCAAAUAUGUAACUCUCAAAGCCACAAGGAAGCAGUUUUUGUCAAAGCAGAUGAGUCAAGUUUCAGCUUGUGCUCUGGUGAGAACUUUGAGAUGGAAGGGGGGUUGCGGGGGGUAACAUCAGAGACUCAAGCCAGAGACAGAAAAUAUCCUGGAAACACAAUCUUCUGUUACUUCGACAUUAAAUAACUUGCUGUCUGGAGACCUUCUGGUCAAUUACCUGACCAACUGCCCUUGGCCUGGCUUGUAUAUAAAAGCACUUUGAAAAAACAUGGUGCUAUAAAAUAUUAGACAGGUCACUUAAAAAAGGAACCUUGUAUCACAUUCUUGCUCAGAGAGCUCAGGCAAUCAGCGUAAAGUCCUUCUUGCUCGAAUUAUGUUCAUGACCUUCUGAAAACUGUGUCUGAAAAGGCAACCUCUUUAGUAAAUAAAAUAGCUUUUUAUUUGAAAAUGA